rnacentral:rRNA from 1 species
UGCCAGCAGCCGCGGUAAUACGGAGGGUGCAAGCAUUAAUCGGAAUUACUGGGCGUAAAGAGUGCGUAGGCGGAUUAGUAAGUUAGGGGUGAAAUCCCGGGGCUCAACCCCGGAACUGCCUCUAAUACUGCUAGUCUUGAGUUCGAGAGAGGUGAGUGGAAUUCCGAGUGUAGAGGUGAAAUUCGUAGAUAUUCGGAGGAACACCAGUGGCGAAGGCGGCUUUCUGGACCGAUACUGACGCUGAGACGCGAAAGCGUGGGGAGCAAACAGGAUUAGAUA